UGCGUAGGCGGAUUAAUAAGUCAGUGGUGAAAUCUCUCGGCUCAACCGGGAAACUGCCAUUGAUACUGCUAAUCUUGAGUUCGGUUGAGGUAGGCGGAAUGUGUAAUGUAGCGGUGAAAUGCUUAGAUAUUACACAGAACACCAAUUGCGUAGGCAGCUUACUAGACCGACACUGACGCUGAGGCACGAAAGCGUGGGUAGCGAACAGGAUUAGAUACCCUGGUAGUCC
rnacentral:rRNA from 1 species